UUUCUCCUUUUUUAUCUUUUUUUUUUUUAUCUUUCUUUUUCUCUCUUCUUCCUGAUUUGAUCAUGCUUCUUUCCUAAAUAAAGAGCUGUUUUUUCCAUGACAGAAAAAUCUGAUGAAACUCUAUAAACUGUAAACGUUUCAAUGACAACCGAAGUUUUCUCCAUUUUUUUGGUAAGAGUCCAAUCUCUCUCUCAUGUUCUUGAUUCAUUUAUAUUUUUGGAUGUUGAUUUUUAUAUUUUUUUCAGGAAUUGGAAAAAGCUUUAUAUCUUGUGUUGCAGCGUGUGCCCAAACUUUUCAUUUUGUUAAUUGUGCUCCAACAUUUCCUGACAUACACAGUAGCAAUGAUUCUUUGCAAAACCGGUUUUCAUCAGUUUCGUAGGCAUCUCAGCACCAUUGCGAGGACAAGUUCGGUAUUUUACCUCCAAUUUCCUACCAAUCUUGCAAAUAAAUAAAUCUAUGCAUACUUCUGCAAUUACCAUCC
rnacentral:lncRNA from 1 species